rnacentral:rRNA from 1 species
GACGUAGGGCGCGAGCGUUGUCCGGAUUUAUUGGGCGUAAAGAGCUCGUAGGCGGCUUGUUGCGUCGGCUGUGAAAACCCAUGGCUCAACCGUGGGCUUGCAGCCGAUACGGGCAGGCUAGAGUUCGGUAGGGGAGACUGGAAUUCCUGGUGUAGCGGUGAAAUGCGCAGAUAUCAGGAGGAACACCGGUGGCGAAGGCGGGUCCCUGGACAACUUCUGACGCUGAGGCACGAAAGCUAGGGGAGCAAACAGG